CUGGUGCCGCGACAAGAAGGUAGAGCCGCUGGAGGACCAAGAGAUGAUGUGAGAACGUGUUUGCCAUUGGAUGGUGACGUACACGAAUAACUUCAGAGAUGUAAAAGAACAUAGGUCCAUCUGGAAAGGAGCCCAUUGACGCCCAUUUCCAAAUCACCAAAAACCCAGGAUCCAAUAACAAUCGCUUAUUUGCCGUGAGGUUCUGCCGGUAUGCGGGGAUCAAGUGAACCAUGACCUGAUCUGAGAGUCCUAAUGCUGCACAAGGUACUGAGUGAUAAGCACUGCUUACUGUAGUGAAACAGUGAUCUAAAGUGUUGUCCUCUCUAGUCAUACAUUUAAUGAACUGUCAGUAUUUAGGAAGUUCAUGGCUGAGGUUUGCCUUGUUGAAAACACCCAAGACAAAAACUACAGUCUGGGCUAGUAUGCUCCACAAACAGUGUCUGAUCAGCGAGUGUGCACUGUGCCUCCUGUAUGAUGGCUUGCAGUGGAAUGUAAACACCAACCAGAAUAAUUGAAGCAAACUUUUGCAGGGAGUGGAAGUUUACAGUUAGUGAAGAAUGACUCCAAGUCAGGAGAACAGUGCUGUUGAAUUACUGUUACAUCAUUACACCAGGCGCUGUUGAUAUAAAAACAUAUCCUGUGUUAUGCAAGGCCAUCACCUGUGCUAUACAAGGUCAAUUGUCGACUACAGCUUGGCAUUUAACAUCGCCAUUCCAUCCAAGUGUGUCCACACACAGGGCCUUAUUCUGAGCCAAAUGUUGUAGGCUACUCCUAGUAUAGUAUAAGUAUAUAUACUCUUUAUAUAUAUACUCUAUAUACGGCUUA